GGAGAGGUGACUGAGCGGUCGAAAGUGCACGAUUGGAAAUCGUGUGGAGGGUCUAAAGCUUUCCCGAGGGUUCGAAUCCCUCCCUCUCCGCCA
rnacentral:tRNA from 4 species